CUACGGGAGGCAGCAGUGAGGAAUAUUGCACAAUGGGGGGAACCCUGAUGCAGCAACGCCGCGUGGAGGAUGACGCAUUUCGGUGUGUAAACUCCUUUUAUAUGUCAAGAAAAUGACGGUAGCAUAUGAAUAAGCACCGGCUAACUCCGUGCCAGCAGCCGCGGUAAUACGGAGGGUGCAAGCGUUACUCGGAACCACUGGGCGUAAAGGACGCGUAGGCGGGUUGGAAAGUCAGGUGUGAAAUCCUACAGCUUAACUGUAGAACUGCACUUGAAACUUCUAAUCUAGAGUAUGGGAGGGGGAGAUGGAACUAGUGGUGUAGGGGUAAAAUCCGUAGAUAUCACUAGGAAUACCUAAAGCGAAGGCGAUCUCCUGGAACAUUACUGACGCUAAGGCGUGAAAGCGUGGGGAGCAAACAGGAUUAGAUACCCGGGUAGUC
rnacentral:rRNA from 1 species